rnacentral:rRNA from 1 species
GACGAACGCUGGCGGCGUGCCUAACACAUGCAAGUCGAACGAAGCAUUGGAAGCUUGCUUUUGAUGCUUAGUGGCGGACUGGUGAGUAACGCGUGAGCAACCUGCCUACUAGAGGGGAAUAACAGUGAGAAAUCACUGCUAAUACCGCAUACACUGAAAGUAUCGCAUGAUACAUUCAGGAAAGGAGCAAUCCGCUGAUAGAUGGGCUUGCGUCUGAUUAGAUAGUUGGUGGGGUAACGGCCUACCAAGUCGACGAUCAGUAGCCGGACUGAGAGGUUGAACGGCCACAUUGGGACUGAGAUACGGCCCAG